rnacentral:misc_RNA from 1 species
AAGCAAAAGUUUCAGCUUUUGAAUAAGAUUUCACUAUUAAUAGGCCCACAACUAGAUCUUGGGUGUGAGAACAUAACAUAGUCUUUUCUCUACCAACAACGAUUGGAAAGAAGAGACAUAUAUGGCUUUCUCUUCUCAAUGAAGUGAUGGUGGAUGUCUUUUAAUGUAACUGUUUGAUAGCUUAGAUGAUAUGUGCAUGUGCUGGCGGUUUUUAAUGGGCUUGUUGUUUAGUUUUUUUUUUAUGUAUUUUUAAUUUUAU